rnacentral:misc_RNA from 1 species
UGACAUGUAAUCAAUCAAUGGCUGCUGAGUUGUUCUGAGGUCAGAAGGAUAAGCGAGUAUAAAAGGGCCGAUGUCUGAGGGACAGCAAGCAAUUCUCGAAGACGUCUCCUUGCGGCUUUGGAAAAUCAGCGCUCUUCCUAUUCAGAAUGAAGGCUGUUGUCCUCCUGCUGGUGUGCGCCAUCGUGGCCAUGAGUUCUGCCAGCUUCCUCUAUAAUCCACUCCUGUACAAGUUCGGAGGUUUGGGAUACGGAGGUCUUGGGUUUGGUGGACUGGGCUUUGGUGGUCUGGGAUUCGGAGGUUUGGGAUUUGGAGGCCUUGGACUUGGCUUGGGAAGAUUUGGUCUCCUGGGUGGUCUGUACGGAGGUUUCCCGUACAAGUACGGUCUAUACUACUGAAUGGCUGUAAAGCAACAGGUGUGACUAUUGUAUCUUCGUGAUUGUAAACAUCGGUCAGUUUUCGAUGGUGAAAAACUAAGUAAAGUCGAAAUUGCAAAAUAA